rnacentral:rRNA from 1 species
AGGGCACCACCAGGAGUGGAGCCUGCGGCUUAAUUUGACUCAACACGGGAAAACUUACCUGGUCCUGACACUAGAAGGAUUGACAGAUUGAUAGCUCUUUCUUGAUUUGGUGGAUGGUGGUGCAUGGCCGUUCUUAGUUGGUGGAGUGAUUUGUCUGGUUAAUUCCGAUAACGAACGAGACUCUAGCCUAUUAAAUAACACGCAGAACCUUGUCUUCUGCGGUGUUUCUUAAUGGGAUCAAGUGUGUUUAACGCUUUGAAACAGAGCAAUAACAGGUCUGUGAUGCCCCUAGAUGUUCGGGGCUGCACGCGCGCUACAUUGAAAGACAAAAUGAGCCUUCUAGUUUUUAAUAAAGCUAGUAAUCUUUGAAUGUUUUUCUUAAUGGGGAUAGGGGAUUGCAAUUGUGCCCCUUGAACGAGGAAUUCCCAGUAAGUGCUAAUCAUUAGUUAGUACUGAUUACGUCCCUGCCCUUUGUACACACCGCCCGUCGCUACUACCGAUUGAAUGGUUUAGUGAGAU